UUGAUUUACUUUCAAGCUUAACAAUUUCUUUCCAGUGCUCUAUAUACAAGAAAGUCAGAAGUCAUCAGAGUCUCUACCUAUGAGAUUCCAGUUUUGUUUAAUUUUUUUAACUAAUACCCCACCAUCCAUUGACCUGAGAACUAAUCUAAAAUUACUUAUACUAACUUAAAUUAAAGUAAAUGCUUUCUUUCAUACGAUAAUUUGAGUUAAUUCUCUCUUUUAUCUGGCAGUCAUGGUCCUCCUAGGCCUUACCCUGGUAAUCCUGAAAGGAAUGCAGCAAGAUCGCUAAAGUAGAUUGGAUGUAUUGCUACGAAGCUCACCGGUAGAAAAAUUAACAUAACUAGGUCUGCGGCUGGAUUUCCUGCUUUCGCUGAUUGUUUCCUUAUCUGGUGCAUCCGUUUUAUGAUGAUAUAGUUUAUGAAAGCUUGUAGAAGCACUCUUCUAGUAAAGAAACCAGAUGUCAUUGCCAUUUGAUGAAGUCAUUAUGAUCUGAUAUUCAUGAUUCUGCUUUCACGACCUAUGAUUUUCAUGCUCCGAAAACAUCAUUGCCUGACAAGAGAUAUAGCAGUUUAAUUUUCCAGUGAUCUAUUGCCCAUAGGUUUUCUUCUAGUAUGAGCUUUCUUCUUGUGCUUCCAUUAGUUACUAAUUGGCCUUUUUAUGCCAAUCAAAUUCAUCUAUUUAGCAUGUUCAUGAUUGCCCCAUAAACAGAAAAUGAAGGCACUAAUUAUUCUUUUGCAGAACUAGAAUUCCUUCAAAGAACAUCCAAAAUGAAGUGUCUCACAAAAAA